AUGCCACCGAAGGCUCGGGGCUGUUUUGGGCACCCAGCCACAGAAGGGAGGCAGCUGGGGGUGUGGGGGGGCAGCCGGGAUGCGGCGGGACAGAGGCCGAGGACGGCUGGGGGGUCCCUGCGGCCCCAGGCGUGCCCCCAGGGCCAGCUGCAGUCUCAGCGGCAGCCUGUCRCGCUAAUGAGCCCCGGCACCGGGCGGGCUCGCUGCCACCCGCAGCCGGCUCCUGGGGCCAUCCCGCGGGGCUCAGCACCGCCGGGCACCGCCGCUGGAUGCACCGCUCCGAGAGCGCGGGGGGACGGAUCUUGGUGCGCUGCUCCUCCCGCGCUGUCCGGAGGCGUUGCACCCUUUGGGGGGGAGGUCUGGGGCGCGCUGGCCCCAGCUCGCACCCACUGUGGCCCGAUCCCCACCCCAGCUCACGGCCCUGCCCUGCGCCGGGCCGGCGUGCAUGGCCCCGGCACCCCACGCGGGCUGGCACACGGCUGCGAGCGACCUGCGUGGCCGUGCCCAGCCGCGUGUGCUCGCGUUUUUGUGCAGACCCGCGGGCUACCACGGCCCCGGCCCAGUGAGCCCAUCGGCCCCGGGCUCGGGGUGUCCCCAAGGCGGAGGACGGGGGGGGCACACGUGCCAUUGGGCGUGCAGGCGGCAGAGCCGUGCGCAGCGGGGCAGGAGCCUCCGCUCAGCCCACGUUCCCGUCAGGGAAGCCGGCCAGCAGCUCCUCAAGGCCUUUCUGCGGGGGCUCGUCAGGGCGAGCUUCACCCGGUGCCUGACGUCCCCCCGAAGGGGCCCUGGGGGGCCGGUGCAUGCCGAGCGCUGCCUUCCGCAGGCGGUUGCAGGCUGCCGGCAGAGGUGUCCCCCCGCGGCCCCCGGCACGCAGCCCGAUGRCCUGACGCUCAGCAGCUCCCGUCCUUCCCGGCCGCUGGCGGGACAGGGCUUGCACGGAGCUGGCCCCGCCGGUACCUCGUGGCACACCGUGGCCACGCUCGCCGGCGGAGAUGGCCAUGCAACGCGCCGCGGCAGCCCGGCGGCGAACAAUUCCCUCUCCCCGUGCGUCCCCCAUCUGUCUUGGGGCCUUUCGCUGUGGAAGAAGCCGCUUGGAAGAGGUUCCUGCUGGGAAGCAAGAUUAAUUACUGCCUCCGUCCCACGCCUCGGGCUGCCAGGGGAAGGUGCCCGGCGGUGCUUGGGCUUGGCUGCAUCCCAAGCCCACACCACCCUGCCCGUUCCUUCCUCCCACCCUGCAGGCAAGGGCAGGCGUCCUCUACCUCAGCUAUCCUCAGCCCCUGCUUUCCCCAGUUCAUGCCAUCGCUUUUUUGA
rnacentral:lncRNA from 1 species